CUGGACUCUCUCUCUGGACUCUCUCUCUCUGGUCUCUCUCUCUGGACUCUCUCUCUCUGGUCUCUCUCUCUCUCUGGUCUCUCUCUCUCUGGUCUCUCUCUCUCUGGUCUCUCUCUCUGGUCUCUCUCUCUUUGGUCUCUCUCUCUCUCUGGUCUCUCGCUCUCUCUCUGGUCUCUCGCUCUCUCUCUGGUCUCUCGCUCUCUCUCUGGUCUCUCGCUCUCUCUGGUCUCUCGGUCUCUCGCUCUCUGGUCUCUCUCUCUGGUCUCUCUCUCUUCUCUCACUCUCUCUGUCACCUCACCUCUCUCUCUCUCAUACCUCUUAUCUCUCUCUCCCCAGCCUGUAUGUCCUCUACUCCCAGUGGUCAUGUCAUUGUAUUCCAGAUGACAAUAUUAGCUUUCCCAUCCUUCACCGUCCAUAAAUAUACAUUAUCUUUGGCAACAUCCCAAAUGGCACCCUAUUCCCUCCAUAGUGCACUACCUUUGGGCCCUGGUCAAAAUGAGUUCACUAUAUAGAGAAUAGGAUGCCAUUUAGGAUACUGCCCUUAUCGCCACAAAACUGAUCGACACCAGGAAGUGAUGCAAUGGCUCCAGUGAGGCAUUUCCUGUGUCCUGCUGUCCAUACACACUGAUCUCUGAUAGUGUUCUAUGUAGGUCUUUCCAUCCUCAUCCAACUAUUCUUUUCUCUUGUUUAUCAGUGCAGCUCCUCUGCUCUUCUGUUUCCUGCUCGCUCUCUCGCUCUCUCUCUCUGGUCUCUCGCUCUCUGGUCUCUCUCUCUCUGGUCUCUUGCUCUCUCUCGCUCUCUGGUCUCUCUCUCUCUGGUCUCUCUCUCUCUGGUCUCUCGCUCUCUUUCUCUCUGGUCUCUCACUCUCUUUCUCUCUGCUCUCUUUCUCUCUGGUCUCUCGCUCUCUGGUCUCUCUCUCUCUCGCUCUCUUUCUCUCUGGUCUCUCGCUCUCUCUCUCUCUCUGGUCUCUUUCUCUCUGGUCUCUCGCUCUCUGGUCUCUCACUCUCUGGUCUCUCGCACUCUGGUCUCUCUCUCUCAGGUCUCUCGCUCUCUCUGGUCUCUUUCUCUCUGGUCUCUCCCUCUCUUUCUCUCUGGUCUCUCGCUCUCUUUCUCUCUGGUCUCUCGCUCUCUUUCUCUCUGGUCCCUCGCUCUCUUUCUCUCUGGUCUCUCGCUCUCUGGUCUCUCUCUCUUUCGCUCUCUUUCUCUCUGGUCUCUCGCUCUCUUUCUCUCUGGUCUCUUGCUCUCUCUCUCUCUCUGGUCUCUCGCUCUCUGGUCUCUCGCUCUCUGGUCUCUCGCUCUCUUUCUCUCUGGUCUCUCGCUCUCUUUCUCUCUGGUCUCUCGCUCU
rnacentral:lncRNA from 1 species